UGCAUGUAUUUGUACGCGUGCUCCAGCAGUUCGGCGUAUGUCUGGGGGAGGGUCUUGUCGAAGGAGUAUGUGAAUCGGAACCCCCUUAGCCCCCUCUUCAUGGUUGAGAUAGCCAUGUCUUCGUUGAGGUCCCGAACCUCAAGCGUGGCUGCAUUGAAUCGCAUCAUGAAAUGUCAGAGCAUCUCGUUUUCCCCCUGCUUGAGGGAAAAAAGGCUGUCCGAGGUUCGUGACGGCUUCUGACU
rnacentral:lncRNA from 1 species